UACCAUGCAAGUCGAGCGGGGGAGAUUGCUUCGGUAAUUGACCUAGCGGCGGACGGGUGAGUAAUACUUAGGAAUCUGCCUAUUAAUGGGGGACAACAUCUCGAAAGGGAUGCUAAUACCGCAUACGCCCUACGGGGGAAAGCAGGGGAUCACUUGUGACCUUGCGUUAAUAGAUGAGCCUAAGUCGGAUUAGCUAGUUGGUGGGGUAAAGGCCUACCAAGGCGACGAUCUGUAGCGGGUCUGAGAGGAUGAUCCGCCACACUGGGACUGAGACACGGCCCAGACUCCUACGGGAGGCAGCAGUGGGGAAUAUUGGACAAUGGGGGGAACCCUGAUCCAGCCAUGCCGCGUGUGUGAAGAAGGCCUUAUGGUUGUAAAGCACUUUAAGCGAGGAGGAGGCUCUUUUGGUUAAUACCCAAGAUGAGUGGACGUUACUCGCAGAAUAAGCACCGGCUAACUCUGUGCCAGCAGCCGCGGUAAUACAGAGGGUGCGAGCGUUAAUCGGAUUUACUGGGCGUAAAGCGUGCGUAGGCGGCUUUUUAAGUCGGAUGUGAAAUCCCCGAGCUUAACUUGGGAAUUGCAUUCGAUACUGGGAAGCUAGAGUAUGGGAGAGGAUGGUAGAAUUCCAGGUGUAGCGGUGAAAUGCGUAGAGAUCUGGAGGAAUACCGAUGGCGAAGGCAGCCAUCUGGCCUAAUACUGACGCUGAGGUACGAAAGCAUGGGGAGCAAACAGGAUUAGAUACCCUGGUAGUCCAUGCCGUAAACGAUGUCUACUAGCCGUUGGGGUCUUUGAGACUUUAGUGGCGCAGCUAACGCGAUAAGUAGACCGCCUGGGGAGUACGGUCGCAAGACUAAAACUCAAAUGAAUUGACGGGGGCCCGCACAAGCGGUGGAGCAUGUGGUUUAAUUCGAUGCAACGCGAAGAACCUUACCUGGUCUUGACAUAGUAAGAACUUUCCAGAGAUGGAUUGGUGCCUUCGGGAACUUACAUACAGGUGCUGCAUGGCUGUCGUCAGCUC
rnacentral:rRNA from 1 species